GACGAACGCUGGCGGCGUGCCUAAUACAUGCAAGUUGAGCGCUGAAGGUUGGUACUUGUACCAACUGGAUGAGCAGCGAACGGGUGAGUAACGCGUGGGGAAUCUGCCUUUGAGCGGGGGACAACAUUUGGAAACGAAUGCUAAUACCGCAUAAAAACUUUAAACACAAGUUUUAAGUUUGAAAGAUGCAAUUGCAUCACUCAAAGAUGAUCCCGCGUUGUAUUAGCUAGUUGGUGAGGUAAAGGCUCACCAAGGCGAUGAUACAUAGCCGACCUGAGAGGGUGAUCGGCCAAAUUGGGACUGAGACACGGCCCAAACUCCUACGGGGGGCAGCAGUAGGGAAUCUUCGGCAAUGGACGAAAGUCUGACCGAGCAACGCCGCGUGAGUGAAGAAGGGUUUCGGAUCGUAAAACUCUGUUGGUAGGGAAGAACGUUGGUGGGAGUGGAAAGCUCAUCAAGUGACGGUAACUACCCAGAAAGGGACGGCUAACUACGUG
rnacentral:rRNA from 1 species